UAAUACUACUAAUCCGUUUCAGCAUUUCUCUCCCUCGAUUCUUUCAUUUGCUUUCAGAAUUUUAUGCUCUCGACACUUUUAAGGACUAAUCUUCGAUUCUCUUCAUCAUCGCAGCUGGGUCUUUCAAUUUCGGGAAAGAAUGCACAUAUAGAGCGAGAGUUUCACACAUACCGAUCGUUUCCUUGAAGUGGAUUUACAAGGCAUGUAUUGAGUUUUUACGACCAGUAUGAAUGGCUCCUUUACUUUUUAUUAUUUUGAGCUAUUGCGAAUUUGCUUUUACACAAAUAACGAUAGAAAAAAAGAAUCUAUCUGAUAAUCCUUUGUGACUUUCACAUGUUAUUUUCUGAGGUUGACAAUUUUUUUAGAAUUAAAUAGACUGUAGAAAAGCAGUGCAAUAUGCCUUCUUAUUACUGAUGCACACCUUAAAAGAAAAUAAUACUUCUUAUUUCCUUUUUAAUAUCUGUGUUUGUAUACCAUUUAGAACUAUAUCGUGCAUCGCUAUUAUGAGAAAAAAUAGUCUUGUGACUGUUAAUGAUUCUCCAUGUAAUUGAGUUUAGUUAUUGGAACUACUAAGAGCUGGUUUUGUUUGUUGUUAA